GGUGGUUCUUGGGUGACGCACCCUGGAACCAGAGAGGAGGGAGCCUGAUUCCAGGGUGCAUCACCCAAGAACUGCC
rfam:Myotis davidii contig191245, whole genome shotgun sequence.